rnacentral:rRNA from 1 species
GACGAACGCUGGCGGCGUGCUUAACACAUGCAAGUCGAACGGAAAGGCCCGUCGGGGUACUCGAGUGGCGAACGGGUGAGUAACACGUGGGUGAUCUGCCCUGCACUUUGGGAUAAGCCUGGGAAACUGGGUCUAAUACCGAAUAGGACCACGCGCUUCAUGGUGUGUGGUGGAAAGCUUUUGCGGUGUGGGAUGGGCCCGCGGCCUAUCAGCUUGUUGGUGGGGUAAUGGCCUACCAAGGCGACGACGGGUAGCCGGCCUGAGAGGGUGACCGGCCACACUGGGACUGAGAUACGGCCCAGACUCCUACGGGAGGCAGCAGUGGGGAAUAUUGCACAAUGGGCGCAAGCCUGAUGCAGCGACGCCGCGUGAGGGAUGACGGCCUUCGGGUUGUAAACCUCUUUCACCAGGGACGAAGCGUAAGUGACGGUACCUGGAGAAGAAGCACCGGCCAACUACGUG